rnacentral:rRNA from 1 species
UACGUAGGGUGCAAGCGUUGUCCGGAAUUAUUGGGCGUAAAGAGCUCGUAGGCGGUUUGUCGCGUCUGCUGUGAAAUCCCGAGGCUCAACCUCGGGCCUGCAGUGGGUACGGGCAGACUGGAGUGCGGUAGGGGAGAAUGGAAUUCCUGGUGUAGCGGUGAAAUGCGCAGAUAUCAGGAGGAACACCAAUAGCGAAGGCAGCUCGCUGGGACGGUACUGACGCUAAGGCGCGAAAGCGUGGGGAGCGAACAGG